rnacentral:tRNA from 1 species
CCUGGUGGCUCAGAGGGUAAAGCGCCUGCCUGCAAUGCAGGAGACCUGGGUUAGAUCCCUGGGUCAGGA